CUGCCACCGAAGGCCUGACAGCUGAGGCCUGGGAAAGCCUGCAGGCAGAAGCUAAGAGCUGUCCCCACACUGUGUGACUCUGACUUACCCUCUGUUCACUCCUGCAUCGAGUGGAGUCAUUGCCAAUAAUAGCAGAAGGUGCAAGGAGAUUCUGCCUGCCUGCCUGCCUGUCUGUCUCUGUGUCUCUCUCUGUCUCUGUGUGUCUGUCUGUCUCUCUGUGUCUAUAUGUCUGUAUGUAUGUCUGUCUAUCUGUCUGUCUGUCUGCCUGCCUGCCUGCCUGCCCCUCUCUCUGUGUGUCUGUCUCUUUCUCUAGCAGGAGGUACUAGGACACUCUCUCUCUCUCUCUGUCUCUCUGUAUUUCUCUCUGCCUCUCUGUGUGUCUGUCUCUCUGUCUCUCUCUCUCUCUCUCUGUCUCUGUCUGUCUGUCUCUGUGUCUGUCUCUCUCUGUGUCUGUCUCUGUCUCUCUAGCAGGAGAUGCUAGGACACUCUGUCUAUCUGUCUCUCUGUGUCUGUCUCUCUCUGUGUCUGUCUAUCUCUGUCUCCUUCUGUGUGUCUGUCUCUCUCUGUGUCUGUCUAUCUCUGUCUCCUUCUGUGUGUCUGUCUGUCUCUGCCUGUCUCUCUCUAGCAGGAGUACUAGGAGUCUGUCUCUCUCCAUAUCGCUCCCUGUCUCUCUCUUUUGUGUGUGUGUGUGUGUGUGUGUGUGUGUGUGUGUGUGUGUGUUUUCAAAUGGCAGAAAAUAUUUUCCAGCUACACUGUGCUGGCAUUGCCAAGCUCAUGCUGAUGCCAAGGUUAUAAAAAGCAGCUGUGGAGAGACUUCACAGAAGGGCUUGUCC
rnacentral:lncRNA from 1 species